GACGAACGCUGGCGGCGUGCCUAAUACAUGCAAGUAGAACGCUGAAGGAGGAGCUUGCUCUUCUGGAUGAGUUGCGAACGGGUGAGUAACGCGUAGGUAACCUGCCUGGUAGCGGGGGAUAACUAUUGGAAACGAUAGCUAAUACCGCAUAACAGUAGAUGUUGCAUGACAUUUGCUUAAAAGGUGCAAUUGCACCACUACCAGAUGGACCUGCGUUGUAUUAGCUAGUUGGUGGGGUAACGGCUCACCAAGGCGACGAUACAUAGCCGACCUGAGAGGGUGAAGGGCGACACUGGGACUGAGACACGGCCCAGACUCCUACGGGAGGCAGCAGUAGGGAAUCUUCGGCAAUGGACGGAAGUCUGACCGAGCAACGCCGCGUGAGUGAAGAAGGUUUUCGGAUCGUAAAGCUCUGUUGUAAGAGAAGAACGAGUGUGAGAGUGGAAAGGUCACACUGUGACGGUAUUUUACCAGAAAGGGACGGCUAACUACGG
rnacentral:rRNA from 1 species